rnacentral:tRNA from 1 species
UAUUUUAAUAGCUUAUAUAGAGCAUAAUGUUGAAGACAUUAGUGAAGAUAAUUCUUUAAGAUAU